CCAACCGUGUAGCUGCGGAUUAUUGGAUUCACGCCGGACAUCUCACCAGAGGCGACAGCUGUAUGAUAGCCAGGUUGAUGACUUUGCUUGACUAGCUGAGAGGAGGUGCAUGGCCGCCGUCAGCUCGUACCGUGAGGCGUCCUGUUAAGUCAGGCAACGAGCGAGACCCACGCCCUUAGUUACCAGCUUAUCCUCUUUUGGGUGGGGGGGCACACUAAGGGGCCUGGCUAUAAUAAAAGGAAGAAGGAGUGACACGGCGACAAAAAUGGCUAAAACAAUGGCUUCCGCCACCGAAGGGGGGAAUCAACCCUCUAAACUUAGUCGUAGUUCGGAGUGAGGAAUUUAACUCCCUCUCAUGAUAUACUUCUUUCUUAUUGAACACAAGGCUGUCACACAAAAAGAGGGGUUUGGGUGAGAUGUAAUGUUUAAUAAAUUCAAUUUUGUUUUUAAGGGGGGUAAUCCACCCAGGACCCA
rnacentral:rRNA from 1 species